CCCCCUACUUAAGAAUCCAAAGGUGACCUUUGGCUGUUGUCUUGACGCUUUGGUUACGAAAGUUUCAGGGGUAGGUUCAUUGAUUAGUACACCUCCGGUGCUGAUAAGGUCGGGACCGUGGUCGUCUGUCUCAGGUUUGCCGGUCGAUAAGAUCUUUGAGAUUGACCAGCCAGCUGGGUUGGUUUGGCUAUUCCUUUCUAUUGAAAAGAAGGAGUCAGCUGUCUGCGCGAGGGAGGGAUUUACCUUUUUAACGCAUAUUCACUCGUACCGGCAUGGCCCCACUGAUUUGUUUUCGAUCGGAGCAUCAAGCAGCGCAACCCGGUUCUACUUGACUAAGCCCCGUGCUCGUCCAAGGAGGGAGUUUGCUUUACCCAACUCCCUUUUUGAUAACAAGGCAGAAACCCCCGACAUUCAUUAG